UACGGAGGGAGCUAGCGUUGUUCGGAAUUACUGGGCGUAAAGCGCACGUAGGCGGCUUUGUAAGUUAGAGGUGAAAGCCCGGAGCUCAACUCCGGAAUUGCCUUUAAGACUGCAUCGCUUGAAUCAUGGAGAGGUGAGUGGAAUUCCGAGUGUAGAGGUGAAAUUCGUAGAUAUUCGGAAGAACACCAGUGGCGAAGGCGACUCACUGGACAUGUAUUGACGCUGAGGUGCGAAAGCGUGGGGAGCAAACAGG
rnacentral:rRNA from 1 species